rnacentral:snRNA from 1 species
UUCUGUUUCUUAUAAAGCAGGCUC